rnacentral:rRNA from 1 species
AGCAGUAGCCGCGGUAAUACGGAGGAUCCAAGCGUUAUCCGGAAUCAUUGGGUUUAAAGGGUCCGUAGGCGGUCUUGUAAGUCAGUGGUGAAAGCCCAUCGCUCAACGGUGGAACGGCCAUUGAUACUGCAGGACUUGAAUUAUUGGGAAGUAACUAGAAUAUGUAGUGUAGCGGUGAAAUGCUUAGAGAUUACAUGGAAUACCAAUUGCGAAGGCAGGUUACUACCAAUUGAUUGACGCUGAUGGACGAAAGCGUGGGUAGCGAACAGGAUUAGAUACCCCUGUAGUCCCUGUCUCUUAUAA